rnacentral:rRNA from 1 species
UGCAGAAUCCCGUACCAUCGAGUCUUUGAACGCAAGUUGCGCCCGAAGCCUUUAGGCCGAGGGCACGCCUGCCUGGGCGUCA